rnacentral:rRNA from 1 species
GUGGGGAAUCUUAGACAAUGGGCGCAAGCCUGAUCUAGCCAUGCCGCGUGAUCGAUGAAGGCCUUAGGGUUGUAAAGAUCUUUCGCUGGGGAAGAUAAUGACUGUACCCAGUAAAGAAGCCCCGGCUAACUCCGUGCCAGCAGCCGCGGUAAUACGGAGGGGGCUAGCGUUAUUCGGAAUUACUGGGCGUAAAGCGCACGUAGGCGGACUGGAAAGUUGGGGGUGAAAUCCCGGGGCUCAACCUCGGAACUGCCUUCAAAACUCCCAGUCUUGAGUGCGAGAGAGGUGAGUGGAAUUCCGAGUGUAGAGGUGAAAUUCGUAGAUAUUCGGAGGAACACCAGUGGCGAAGGCGGCUAUCUGGACGAGUAUUGACGCUGAGGCACGAAAGCGUGGGGAUCAAACAGGAUUAGAUACCCUUGUAGUCC